UAUUUUAUAUGAGAGUUUGAUCCUGGCUCAGGAUGAACGCCGGCGGUGUGCCUAAUACAUGCAAGUCGUACGCACUGGCCCAACUGAUUGAUGGUGCUUGCACCUGAUUGACGAUGGAUCACCAGUGAGUGGCGGACGGGUGAGUAACACGUAGGUAACCUGCCUCGGAGCGGGGGAUCACAGCUGG
rnacentral:rRNA from 1 species